rnacentral:rRNA from 1 species
GACGAACGCUGGCGGCGUGCUAAACACAUGCAAGUCGAACGGAAAGGCCCUGCUUGCAGGGUACUCGAGUGGCGAACGGGUGAGUAACACGUGGGUGAUCUGCCCUGCACUUCGGGAUAAGCCUGGGAAACUGGGUCUAAUACCGGAUAGGAGCCAUUUUUAGUGUGAUGGUUGGAAAGUUUUUUCGGUGUAGGAUGAGCUCGCGGCCUAUCAGCUUGUUGGUGGGGUAAUGGCCUACCAAGGCGGCGACGGGUAGCCGGCCUGAGAGGGUGGACGGCCACAUUGGGACUGAGAUACGGCCCAGACUCCUACGGGAGGCAGCAGUGGGGAAUAUUGCACAAUGGGCGCAAGCCUGAUGCAGCGACGCCGCGUGGGGGAUGACGGCCUUCGGGUUGGAAACUCCUUUCGCUAGGGACGAAGCUUUUUGUGACGGUACCUAGAUAAGAAGCACCGGCUAACUACGUG